AAGAGUCGCGUGAUGAUUUUAUUGCAUAGUUCAGAUGAUUAUUCUCUGAUUACAUUGCAAGUCUUUCGCUCCUAUCUGAUGACUCUG